GUAACUUACAAGCCCCAAGAAGUGCACCCCAGGCACCGGCAUGAGGUUCAACAGGCAUCGACUUUAUAAGUUCAUACGCAUCUUGAAGCUUUCCUGAUCUUCCAAGAAGGUCUACUACGCAUGCAUAAUGAUCCGGAGAUAGCUUGACAGAGUACUUGGUUGUCAUUAGAUUGAAGAUCCGGAAACCCUCCUUUACAAGUUCUGCACGACUACAAGCUGUCAGAAUUAUCUUUAGGGAAACAUCAUCAGGC
rnacentral:misc_RNA from 1 species